GUAAGGAAUUGUGGCUAGUAUUAUAAGAAUAAAUACUCAUAAUGAAUGGCAUAUGAUCGUAAAAUGUACAGAUGGUACGUACAUGACAGUGCAGUUAGUCAAGUUCAAGAUGAAGUUUGUAUUUGUACUACUAGUAACAGCAAUUCAGUGCAAACUUUCCAUUGGGCAACGUCCUAUGGAAUGCAGUCAUUCUGUGGAACUUCUUAUACAACUUCUUAUACAAGUUAAUGGACCACCAUGCCCGAAUAUUUGCAGUGAUGCUCCGAGAAAUAACUUGAUAGAUGAUAUUAUAGGCAGUUGUAACUUGAACCCAGUAGGGGUCGCAUAACGAUUAAUGUAACAGACAUUCAGAGAGAUUCAUGCUCUCCGGUAUUAUCACCAUCAUGCCCCACUACAACCACGGUCAUUACAGAGUACUUGAGUAUCACACCAACAAACUACUGUCUACAGUAUACACACACCAAGGAAAUGUCUACAACAGUAGGGACCUUCAAUACCGACGCAGCUACUGUAGACACUAACAGUAGUCAAGUGAUACUAGGAGCAUUCAUAUAGCUGUACUAGCAGCACUGCUGGUUGCAGUAACUGUAGGAUAGAUAGUCACUUGUGUGGUCAACAGAAGGAAAGAUAUAGCUUUGACUACAAGUAACAAAGAUAACGCUCUAAAAAACCCAGCGUACGAUUCCAAACAUGUCCAGGUUACCAAGGCAACCCGUCUGCUCGCACACAGACAGGCUACAGCUCACAGGGUCCGGCCUACGAACAGGUCAGGGUUGACACGGGAACUGACUAUGAUGUCAUCAAUCGCAGUGGACCACGCCCACCAACCACACACCCUGACCAAGACUACAGUACAUUGGAUACUAACGAGCAAGAGCAUGACUAUCAUGUGCUAGAGUCCACCAAUGCAGGGGAUCCAACAGCUGUGGGAGGUGACUAUCAUGUGCUAGAGUCAACCAAUGCAGAGGGUCCAACAGCUGUGGGGGGUCAAGAGCAUGACUAUCAUGUGCUAGAGUCCCCCAAUGCAGGGGGUCCAACAGCUGUGGGAGGUCAAGAGCCUCAAGACAACAAGAUACCGCUCAGAAA